CUACGGGGCGCACCAGUGGGGAAUAUUGGACAAUGGGGGAAACCCUGAUCCAGCAAUGCCGCGUGUGUGAAGAAGGCCUGCGGGUUGUAAAGCACUUUCGGUUGGGAGGACUGCUUCUAGCACUAAUAUUGUUGGAAGUUGACGUUACCUUCAGAAGAAGCACCGGCUACUCCGUGCCAGCAGCCGCGGUAAUACGGAAGGUGCAAGCGUUAAUCGGAAUUACUGGGCGUAAAGCGCGCGUAGGCGGCUAGAUCAGUCGGGUGUGAAAGCCCAGGGCUUAACCUGGGAACUGCAUCCGAUACUGUCUAGCUUGAGUACAGGAGAGGAGAGUGGAAUUCCACAUGUAGCGGUGAAAUGCGUAGAUAUGUGGAGGAACACCAAUGGCGAAGGCAGCUCUCUGGCCUGAUACUGACGCUGAGGUGCGAAAGCGUGGGGAGCAAACAGGAUUAGAUACCCGCGUAGUC
rnacentral:rRNA from 1 species